GACAAAAGAGGAAUAACUGAGAAAGGAUAACCUACACAAACUUAAUUCGCUAGCAACGGUUUUGUGCGCCAUUUCAAAGAUUGCAACUAGCUAGCACCAAGCACAACAAGUUAUUUGGCCAUGUUUAUUUUUUUAAUAGGAGUGAAGGGACAUGCAAUGACAGACGCACGGACUUUAUUUACAAGUGACAGGUAAUGGGGAUAUAAUGGAUGGCAGGGUACCAUGACGACAUCAUAUCCCAUCCUUGGACAGGUGUUUCAGUUUGUGAAUGAGAGGAAAUGGGAUCUUUACACCCAAUUUGAAGUGAAGUGAGUGUGCGUUUACAUGGAGGAUAUCCCGUGACCCUAGUGUAAUGACUUGCAGACUACAGGUGGGCUUGCUCCUGAGUGGCACUGAUGGGCCACAUAAACACACUCUAUCACACUCCUCUCCUCUCCUACAGGCUCUCUUUAACUCUGAAUACUAC
ensembl:lncRNA